GAGCAGGUGCGAAAGCAGGUCAUAGUGAUCCGGUGGUUCUGAAUGGAAGGGCCAUCGCUCAACGGAUAAAAGGUACUCCGGGGAUAACAGGCUGAUACCGCCCAAGAGUUCAUAUCGACGGCGGUGUUUGGCACCUCGAUGUCGGCUCAUCACAUCCUGGGGCUGAAGUAGGUCCCAAGGGUAUGGCUGUUCGCCAUUUAAAGUGGUACGCGAGCUGGGUUUAGAACGUCGUGAGACAGUUCGGUCCCUAUCUGCCGUGGGCGCUGGAGAAUUGAGGGGGGCUGCUCCUAGUACGAGAGGACCGGAGUGGACGCAUCACUGGUGUUCGGGUUGUCAUGCCAAUGGCACUGCCCGGUAGCUAAAUGCGGAAGAGAUAAGUGCUGAAAGCAUCUAAGCACGAAACUUGCCCCGAGAUGAGUUCUCCCUGAGACUAUAAGUCUCCUGAAGGAACGUUAAAGACGAUGACGUUGAUAGGCCGGGUGUGUAAGCGCAGCGAUGCGUUGAGCUAACCGGUACUAAUGAACCGUGAGGCUUAACCUUACAACGCCGAAG
rnacentral:rRNA from 1 species